rnacentral:misc_RNA from 1 species
AACGCACAUUGCGCCCCUUGGUAUUCCAUGGGGCAUGCCUGUUCGAGCGUCAUUUGUACCCUCCAGCCCUGCUGGAUGUUGGGCGUUUUGUUCCGCUGCACGCGUGAACUCGCCUCAAAUGCAUUGGCAGCCCGCCGUCCCGUGUGGGAGCGCAGCACAUUUUGCGCUCUCCGCUGCUGACGGUGGCAUCCACAAGUCUACCAUUUUACGCUUGACCUCGGAUCAGGUAGGGAUACCCGCUGAACUUAA